rnacentral:rRNA from 1 species
GUGCUUAACACAUGCAAGUCGAGUGCGCGUCCGUAGCAAUACGGAUGGCGCACGGCGCACGGGUGCGUAACACGUGGGCAAUCUGCCCUCGGAUGGGGGAUAACUCGCCGAAAGGCGAGCUAAUACCGCAUGACAUUCCUGGGACUCCGGUCCCGGGACUCAAAGGCCGCAAGGCCGUCUGAGGAGGAGCCCGCGCCCGAUUAGCUAGUUGGUGAGGUAACGGCUCACCAAGGCUUUGAUCGGUAGCCGGUCUGAGAGGAUGGCCGGCCACACUGGAACUGAGACACGGUCCAG